CCUUGAACGCGCAGGAGCGCGCGGGCAGAUUAAUGUGGGAUUUGAGCACCUGACUAAAGUAACGGGAAAUUGCUGAUCACUGGAUGAACGCGCACUGGAACCUUUUAAUUUAAUUGCUAAAUGGAUUAAUGAACCGUAAUUCUUAUUUUUGCUUUGCUGUCUCUUUGAAAGUCAAAGAAGAUGGACUGAACCCAAGCACUCUAUUGAUCUGUGUUUUAUUUGGCAGUGCAUUGUAAUGAUCUUCUAAUGUCUCUGAAGGAUGUUCACCAAGAGUCACAAUGAGCUGUCAAACCAUUCAUCUGUAAUGCAUUGUGCCUUUUAAAUAGAUUGAACCAGACUGACUAGAAAUAAUAGAGUAUAAUAGAAUAUUUAACUUGUAGAGCAAAAUAUUUUCUGAGCUUAGCUACGACCGUCUGUCAGUGUCAGGUCACCGCUUUGUUUCGUGUCCAUCGACGUCAUUUUCAAAGGAUACGAUUACGAAGUAGGCCUACGACAAGUUUCCGUUUUGUAGAACAUGAGAAAGUCUUUUUUCAGACGAGCAAAGUUAUUGCCGUGGAUAAGCAACGUGACUCUGUACGGGUGCUUGUUCGCCGGUGGGGACUUCGUGCAUCAGUGUAUGAUCGCGCGGAGAGAUGAAAUGGACUGGAGGCACACGAGAAACGUGGCGAUCGUGGCGCUGAGCUUUCAAGGUAACUUCAAUUACUUCUGGUUGCGAGCUUUAGAGCAUCGUUUCCCGGGAAGAUCGGCCGGUAUGAUUUUACGCAAACUGCUUUUGGACCAAACUUUUGCUUCACCUUUGGCGACCAGUGUCUUCUACACAGGUGUGAGUUUCUUGGAAGGCAAAGAGGACAUAUUUGCAGACUGGCGAGAAAAGUUUUUAAAUACAUACAAGACUGGACUAAUGUACUGGCCAUUCAUGCAGUUUCUGAAUUUUGUUCUGUUGCCUCUCUACCUGAGGACGGCAUUCAUGGGCUGUUCAGCGUUCCUGUGGGCCACGUUCUUAUGUUUCUCGCGACAGAGUGGGGAUGGCACAGCAGGAGUAGCCUUAGCUUGGAUCAUGGCCCCCAAAAAACGGAUUCUACCUCGCAGUACAGACGAGGAGAAAUAGAGACACUGUGGCACAUAUGAACAACAUUGUGCCUUUGCGGAUGGACAGUUCAGUCCCACUAUGGCACUGUAUCGAGGCUGUGAUGUGUUUAUAAAUCUUGUUGCUUACUAUCUUAUUAAGAGUGAUAUUAAAUUAACUUGUACGUGUACACCUUUCAUUUAUUUUUAUGUUGAACAACCCAAUUUUACAUUAUAUAGUUUAAUGUUUUAUGUGAUUCAAUUUAUUUAUUUAUUACUGAAAGGAAAUGCAUUGUGUGUUUAUGAAUUUCACUGGGUGGGUUGGAAGGGCCUUGCGACAUAUGUGCCCCAGGUUAGGUUGCCAUUCAUCCCAAAUAGCUUAUGAAUUUAUUGAAAUAUUUUAAAAAUGGACAUACUGUGCAGUGUUUUAUCCAAACGUAACCGUCUUUCUAAAGAGAAAUAAAGAAGCAUUUACUCAUAAGGUUUACAUGCAUGUGUACUCAUAAGGGAUGCAGUAUUAAAAAGAUUUGUAUCUUAUUAAACUUGUAAAAAAUAUAUUUAUUGUUAUUAUGUCAGGAUCAUAGACUGUCUGUAUCAUGUUUUGUUUCCGUAGUGUUUCCUGUUGUGUCUAUUGAUCCCUUUCUUCACCCCUAAUUCCUUCUCCUCCUGCUGGAGCAGGGUGAGCGCUCUCUUGAGGACCAUACAAGACUGUUCCGGCUGUUAGCUAGCACUACCAGCUACCCGGACGCCGUCGUCCAAGGAUGGUCCUUGAGAGGAUUUCGUUGCCUUCGUGGAGUGGACUCUGGUGAGAAAUAGAUCGCCAUCCUGCCCCAUGGAUGAUCUCGUCAGAUCCACUCCAGACCCAGUGCCCAGCCCACCAUCUCCCCGCGGUGCGGAGCAUCAGCCCAAGCCCACAACUGACGGUGAGCCAGAGCCUGCCGCGACCGACAAGCCAUUGCCAGAGAGAGCAACAGAGCUGAGGAUCGCUGUGGAGCCGGAGGCCGUGAUGUCAGUCGAGGUGCGAGAGCCGGCUACAGAGACCACUACGAGGGAGAGAGCCACGGACAUUGUGAGCACAGAGUAGAGCUCCGCCCCCCUGCACCACAGCUGAGGGUGAGCUGAGUUCGGUGCGGUGAAAGUGCCAAACUGAAGAGGAGAGGGCUCCAGUCCCCGAAUCCAGUCCAGAGCGCCCUCCAGUGCCCAUUCCUAGAAAGUGCCCUCCAGUCCCCGCUUCUCGAACGCGCCCUCAAGUGUCCGCUCCAGAGCACCAUCCUGUUUCCGUGUUCAGCAUAGAAGGGGCUCCCGAUCCAGAGUUUAACACUGAAUGCCCACAGGCUCAGAAAUGCCCGUCCUCCCACCCGCUCCUGCCUCCUCCUCCGCUGUCAUCUGGCAGCCCCUCUGCUCGCCUUCAGCCCACCAUCUAUGCGGUGUGAUCUUCACUUUGCGUAUGUGAUCCUCCAGUGUCGCAAUGGCUGGAGAAUCUCUCCCUUCCGCCUUCAGCCUCCACUGUCACCCGUCGAUCCACCAGCUCCACCGGGCUCCCUCGUCCCUCUGGGUCCACCUUGGUCGGGCGUCGACCAUCCUGCACCUCGGGACUUCACUCCCCCAGCUGCGCCUCGUCCCUCUAGCUCCGUCAGUCUCCUUCAUCUCUUCAGCUCCUCCUCAGUCCUCAGUCGCACCGGCUCCGCCUCGGAUCUCCAUCUUGGCCGCCAGAGCCCUCGGCUCCACCUUGGCCCCUGGAUCCUCAGCAUCUGCCUAGCUCUUCGGCUCUCCACCUCAGUCUCCUCCGCCACCUGCUCCGCUGCCAUUGGUCAGCCCCCUGGAGUUGGCGGCCAUUCCUCCUCCAUGGCUCCUUCCUCCGUCAGCUCCACCGUUGGUUGCUAUUAUGGCUGUGGCCUGGGUCUAGCUGGGCUCCUCCUGCUCCAAGCCUUUCCUGUCUCCUCCCUGGCUCCUCCAUCCAUCCGCUCCUCCCUGGACUUUGUCUGUUGGCCCCUUUCUGGAUAUCCGGCCUCCUCCCAAGUUCCCACCCAUCCCUCCCUCUGUUGCUUCUAUGGUGCGAGGACGCACCUUCCAGGAGGGGUUCCACAGUUUGUCUCUGUCAGAUCUACCAGUGAUGUACGUGUGUCAACCUCCUGUUCCC
ensembl:lncRNA